UAAGGAAUAUUGGACAAUGGACGCAAGUCUGAUCCAGCCAUGCCGCGUGAAGGAUGAAGGUCCUCCGGAUUGUAAACUUCUUUUAUAGGGGACGAAAGUGAGCUUUUCUAAGUUUUUUGACUGUACCCUAUGAAUAAGCACCGGCUAACUCCGUGCCAGCAGCCGCGGUAAUACGGAGGGUGCAAGCGUUAUCCGGAUUCACUGGGUUUAAAGGGUGCGUAGGCGGGUAAGUAAGUCAGCGGUGAAAUCUUCGAGCUUAACUCGGAAACUGCCAUUGAUACUAUUUAUCUUGAAUAUUGAGGAGGUGAGCGGAAUAUGUCAUGUAGCGGUGAAAUGCUUAGAUAUGACAUGGAACACCGAUUGCGAAGGCAGCUCACUACACAAAUAUUGACGCUGAUGCACGAAAGCGUGGGGAUCAAACAGG
rnacentral:rRNA from 1 species